rnacentral:lncRNA from 1 species
UCGGAGUCCAAAUUUCGCAACAAGUGCUAGCGCAUCAUGUAACGGCAACCCAGAUCACGCAGCCCACCUAUGAGAUUGGAAUAGCCAACAAUGUCAACAACAACAACACACAUCUUUCUUUUUAUUGAUUUCUUAUUUGAAAAUUACAAACCACAGUCAAUAAAAAAAUUAACAAGAACACCACUUACUAAACAAUCUAACAUAACGAUAAUUGAAUUGUGCAAAUCUAGACAGUGACACAACAAAUAUAAUUAUGCACCUCUUAAGCUUCUCGACUGAGUAGUCAGAGCAGGUGAACACUCACGGCCAAAAAUAUUGGCAUAGCCAUAACAGUUGCAGACGGAUAAGGUAAGCUAAAACCUAAACGUUUUGAAGUUGUCACAUGGCCGUGUAAGACAUUUGAACAGAGAUUUAAUAUUAAAUUCCCAGCAAAAUAAAUACAAGCAACAAAGAAUUGAGAAGUACAUGGCAGGUGUGAACACAGCUCGCAACAUGCAUUAUAGAAGAAUUAAAAUUACCAUGCACCAUACUCUAAAGCAAAGACAUGGAACAAAUAAACUAAAGGUAAGUGUGCAACCGAUACAAAUGAGCCCCCAAAAAAGAAAAAUACAAAGAAAGCUCAUCAGUAACCUUCUUUGAAAGCACACAUCUUCUUUUCGCCAUAACAAGAUAUCUGAAAAACAUGACCAAAGUCACAAAAUGAGAAUUCAGUAAUUUAGUUAGUGGUACAAUAAAAUAUGAAAAGAAAAUAGAGCACAAAAAUACUAUUUUGAGAACAAAGUAGGGUAGUGAUUUACAGAAGGUACAAUUAAUGGAUGAAAAGUGUUCCAGCAAACAAAUUCGAUGUGAGCAAAGACAAGCGGACCGUGAGGGCACCUGUUGAAAACCGGAAACCAAAAAUAGCAAUCUCCGUAUAACACAAAGUAACAAAUCCUUUAAAAACCUAAAGGCUAGAGGCAAUAACCCAAGUCCUAAUCCUAGAGUAAUGAAUCCCAUUCUCUAAACUUCAAAAUGAUUACUAUAACUAAACGAUCAUUGGGAAAUGACUUUUAAGUUUUAAAUACAAUGGAAGAGCGCAAAACACAUGAAAACAAAAUAUCACACCACAAAUAAAAAAUAGAACAAAACCAAGCGCACCGUUAAAUUUGAAGAAGUGGAAUAACUUUCUUGGUGUAGAAAGACAAAACGCUAAAAAACACAAAAUUAGAAAGUAAAAAUAAAUGUUGGAGAUCAUAAGAACGUAAAAUAUCCAACAGAAAAGGUGAGCAAGUCACCUAAUAGGAAAUUAGGAAUAAACUAUAGUACUCCUUAUUUAAUGAUGAAGCAUGUUUUUUUUUUUUUCAUUAGGGAAUAUCACUUCAUUUACAAUCACCAAUCCUGCUACGAAGGUAUUUCCUAAUUAAAAGUAGUUUUGCUUCAACUUUCCAAAGUUACGACCUUGUAGUUCAUUUCCAACGUCACUUAUAGAGUUCUAGUAGCUAUGCUAUUUACUUAAACCCAAUUUCAGUUACCAAUUUAUUGAAUUUGAUGAUUAUCCAGGUGGAGAGAUCAAUUAUUUGUUCAAUUGCUGUCAAAUUAUUUCAGACUCAGAAAAGGUGAGUCUAUUGUAUUGAGUUGGGCUAUAUGAUAGUAUACCUAAGAUUCUCCAGAGCUAUAGUUCUAUAUUUAUGAUGGUGUGUUAGUAUAUGAUCUAUUGGCAUAAUUUGUUGGUGUGUUUGAAAAAUUGAUGUUCCAUAGGCAAGCUCAAGUUGUUUAUACAUUUUAACAUGGACCAUAAAAACUAAUAAUACAUUUUAAUUUAUCGUGAUUUCAACGCGUAAGAGUAAAAUGCAUGUUAUGGAGACUUACUCAAGUGCAAGAUAAUGCUCACUACGCCCGUGGAGAUGUAACUCUUGAAGAAGUGAAUGUCGGUGAACGAGCACGUGUCUGAGAAUAAUUUAGAAAAAAGAAUCACAUGAAUAUUUAAAUUACACACGUGAAAAAAUCAAACAAAUCAUAUUAAUACUACUACAUUGUUUUACAAAAAUUAGUACAUGAAAAAUUAAGAAUAUCAAAGUUUAUUUAAAAUCCUAAAGCACCCGAUUAUAUUUUUGUCUAGUACUUCCAAUAUACCUCCGGAAAUUACUUCAAUUAGUAAACAUUGUAAAAGUAAAAAAUCAAACAAUAAUUAAAUCAAUUAUAUUCAAUUAAUUAAUCAAAAUAAGUUUAAGUUAAAACUCUAGGCCCAUUCCUUAAUCCUUAUCAUCAAAUCCAACAAUAUUUCAUUAUCAUCAUCUGUACUCAUGAUCCAUUCCAAACAUACACUAUUUAAAAUCCCCACAAUAUACUGCCCCUGUUCCACGGUUCUCUCUCUACUCUCUCAUUCUCGGUUGCACCCAUAGUCUCCUUUCUUUGUGUACCCUGUCAACUCUCUCUCUCUCUCACACACACACAGCUUCAUCUGUCUCUGCACUUCACAUUUGCAACAGAGAGUGAAUCUCAUCCCCAACUAUCAAAUCCCAAAUUCUUCUUCUUCUUCUCAUUCUCCCCCCCCCCCCUUCUUCUAAUUUCCGGCGAAUAACCAGAACUGUUUGUUCUCUCCAUCAAUCGGCCGUCCACCUAUAUCUCACCGCCGUUCCCUAUCGUCGACCCACUCUCCUCAGCUCGGCCCGACAAUCAGCACAAGAAAUUGAGCCACAACUCAGCCAAGGCUGGUUGUUCCCAAUCGUCGACCCACCCUGCACACCUAAGUAGCUUUCAAUGCCAACGCCGACCGGAACCCUCAACGCAAGCAACAAAGCAAGAAACCCAGCCCCAAGACAAUAGUUCUAUUGUGUUGUGGUGUGCUCAGUUUUGUGAAAAAAUUCUUGGGUUCAUCAUAAAAUUUAAUGACAAAAUGCAGGUUUACGAAAUAAAAGCUCACCUCGUUUUUUUGGUGUAAUGGAUUUCUCUAGUGUGAUUUUUGGUUGAAUUUUGAUCAGACUUUGCACUUUCACCGUUGAAUUUGGGGGAGAUUCUUACGGCA